rnacentral:rRNA from 1 species
CCUACGGGAGGCUGCAGUAGGGAAUAUUGCUCAAUGGGGGAAACCCUGAAGCAGCAACGCCGCGUGGAGGAUGAAGGUUUUCGGAUUGUAAACCCCUUUUGUUAGAGAAGAUAAUGACGGUAUCUAACGAAUAAGCACUGGCUAACUCCGUGCCAGCAGCCGCGGUAAUACGGAGGGUGCACGCGUUACUCGGAAUCACGGGGCGUAAAGAGCGCGUAGGCGGGAUAGCAAGUCAGAUGUGAAAUCCUAUGGCUUAACCAUAGAACUGCAUUUGAAACUGUUAUUCUAGAGUAUGGGAGAGGUAGGUGGAAUUCUUGGUGUAGGGGUAAAAUCCGUAGAGAUCAAGAGGAAUACUCAUUGCGAAGGCGACCUGCUAGAACAUAACUGACGCUGAUGCGCGAAAGCGUGGGUAGCAAACAGGAUUAGAUACCCGAGUAGUC